rnacentral:rRNA from 1 species
AUUGAACGCUGGCGGCAGGCCUAACACAUGCAAGUCGAACGAGUGGCGGACGGGUGAGUAAUGUCUGGGAAACUGCCCGAUGGAGGGGGAUAACUACUGGAAACGGUAGCUAAUACCGCAUACCAUCGGAUGUGCCCAGAUGGGAUUAGCUAGAAGGUGGGGUAACGGCUCACCUGGGCGCCGAUCCCUAGCUGGUCUGAGAGGAUGACGAGCCACACUGGAACUGAGACACGGGCCAGCAUCCUACGCGAGGCAGUAGUGGGGAAUAUUGCACAAUGGGCGCAAGCCUGAUGCAGCCAUGCCGGGUGUAUGAAUAAGGCCGUCGGGUUGGAAAGUACUUUCAGCGAGGUGGCGUUACUCGCAGAAGAAGCACCGGCUAACGCCGUGCCAGCAGCCGGGGAAGUAC